GGGUCUGGACGGACGGCGCGACAUCCGCGACUUAUGCCCGAGGUGCUCUCAUUCCAGACAUCGCCAGGCAGAUGUAUGGCUCACCUUCCGAGGUGCUGAUCGAGAAGGCUGCCAAGUCCCUGGUCUGGGUAUGACAGUAGUUCUCUCUCUUUGCUUCGGCCCUUGUCUGACCUCCUUUUCUUAUGCUAGGUCGUUUUUCUACACAGAACCUGCA
rnacentral:lncRNA from 1 species